GCCUGGGUGGCUCACUCGGCUAAGCGUCUGACUUGGGCUCAGGUUAUGAUCUCACGGUUCGUGGGUUCGAGCCCCACAUCGGGCU
rfam:Felis catus isolate Cinnamon breed Abyssinian chromosome C1, whole genome shotgun sequence.